rnacentral:rRNA from 1 species
CCUACGGGAGACAGCAGUGGGGAAUAUUGGGCAAUGGGCGCAAGCCUGACCCAGCAACGCCGCGUGAAGGAAGAAGGCUUUCGGGGUGUAAACUUCUUUUCUGAGGGACGAAGAAAGUGACGGUUCCCCAGUAAUAAGCUACGGCUAACUACGUGCCAGCAGCCGCGGUAAUACGGAGGUGGCAAGCGUUAGCCGGAUUUAUUGGGUGUAAAGGGCGUGUAGGCGGGAACGCAAGGCAGAUGUGAAAACUCAGGGCUCAACCCUGGGCCUGCCGUUGAAACUGUUUUUCUUGAGUGCUGGAGAGGCAAUCGGAAUUCCGUGUGUAGCGGUGAAAUGCGUAGAUAUCCGGAGGAACACCAGUGGCGAAGGUGGCUUGCUGGACCGUAACUGACGCUGAGGCGCGAAAGCGUGGGGAGCAAACAGGAUUAGAUACCCUAGUAGUC